rnacentral:rRNA from 1 species
AACGAACGCUGGCGGCAUGCCUAACACAUGCAAGUCGAACGAGACCUUCGGGUCUAGUGGCGCACGGGUGCGUAACGUGUGGGAACCUGCCUUUAGGUUCGGAAUAACUCAGAGAAAUUUGAGCUAAUACCGGAUAAUGUCUUCGGACCAAAGAUUUAUCGCCUUUAGAUGGGCCCGCGUAAGAUUAGCUAGUUGGUGGGGUAAAGCCUACCAAGGCGACGAUCUUUAGCUGGUCUGAGAGGAUGAUCAGCCACACUGGGACUGAGACACGGCCCAGACUCCUACGGGAGGCAGCAGUGGGGAAUAUUGGACAAUGGGCGAAAGCCUGAUCCAGCAAUGCCGCGUGAGUGAUGAAGGCCUUAGGGUUGUAAAGCUCUUUUACCCGAGAUGAUAAUGACAGUAUCGGGAGAAUAAGCUCCGGCUAACUCCGUGCCAGCAGCCGCGGUAAU